rnacentral:tRNA from 1 species
GCCGCGGUGGAGCAAUAGGUAGACUCUCGACAUUCAAAAUGUCGCGCUUGUAAGAGUAUGGGGAUUCGAAUUCCCCUCGCGGCA